CUUUAAUAAGAACACUCUAUAA
rnacentral:snRNA from 1 species